GAUGAACGCUGGCGGCGUGCCUAAUACAUGCAAGUCGAGCGAACAGAUAAGGAGCUUGCUCCUUUGACGUUAGCGGCGGACGGGUGAGUAACACGUGGGUAACCUACCUAUAAGACUGGAAUAACUCCGGGAAACCGGGGCUAAUGCCGGAUAACAUGUUGAACCGCAUGGUUCUACAGUGAAAGGCGGCUUUGCUGUCACUUAUAGAUGGACCCGCGCCGUAUUAGCUAGUUGGUGAGGUAACGGCUCACCAAGGCAACGAUACGUAGCCGACCUGAGAGGGUGAUCCGCCACACUGGAACUGAGACACGGUCCAGACUCCUACGGGAGGCAGCAGUAGGGAAUCUUCCGCAAUGGGCGAAAGCCUGACGGAGCAACGCCGCGUGAGUGAUGAAGGUCUUCGGAUCGUAAAACUCUGUUAUUAGGGAAGAACAAAUGCGUAAGUAACUGUGCGCGUCUUGACGGUACCUAAUCAGAAAGCCACGGCUAACUACGUG
rnacentral:rRNA from 1 species